GACGGAGGAUGCAAGUGUUAUCCGGAAUCACUGGGCGUAAAGCGUCUGUAGGUGGUUUAAAAAGUCUACUGUUAAAAAUUGAAGCUUAACUUCAAAGAUGCCGUAGAAACUUUUAAACUUGAGGAUGGUAGGGGUAGAGGGAAUUUCCAGUGGAGCGGUGAAAUGUGUAGAUAUUGGAAAGACCACCGAUGGCGAAGGCACUCUACUGGGCCAUGACUGACACUGAGAGACGAAAGCUAGGGGAGCAAAUGGG
rnacentral:rRNA from 1 species